rnacentral:rRNA from 1 species
AAUUUUGGACAAUGGGGGAAACCCUGAUCCAGCCAUCCCGCGUGUAUGAUGAAGGUCUUCGGGUUGUAAAGUACCUUUGGCAGGCGAGGAAAGGUAUCUCCUUAUACGAGAUACUGCUGACGGUCUCUGCAUAAUCAGCACCGGUUAACUACGUGCACGCAGCCGCGGUAAUACGUAGGGUGGAAGCGUUAAUCGGAAUUACUGGGAGUAAAGCGGGUGUCGGCGGUUCGGAAAGACAGAUGAGAAAUCCCAGGGCUAAACCGGGUGACUGCAGUCUAAACUGCAGAGCUAGAGUAUGUCAGAGGGGGGUAGAAAUCCACGUGGAGCAGUGAAAUGCGUAGAUAUGUGGAGGAAUACCGAUGGCAAAGGCAGCCCCCUGGGAUAAUACUGGCGCUCAGACACGAAAGCGUGGGGAGCAAACA